ensembl:lncRNA
GACGUCAGCCUGCCGUCCCUGCCGGCUUCCGGACCCUGACACGGUCCAACAAGCCCUUCUUCACCCGGGCUGAGUCGCUUCUUGUUUCUUGCCACCGAACCGUCCUUGACUAAGACACCUUACAACACAGCUGCUGGCUCGCCCCCGCCACCCACUCCCUCGUUCUUUUCUUCUCCCGGAAUCUGUUUUCCCGUUUCUAUUGAGACAGCCACGCUGCACACACAGGGCCUGAAUUUUCACUUGAACAAACGCUGCCUGGCCUGGGCCCAAAGAGGACAAGCAGCAACCCCGUGACUUGGCCACACAACAGCGCAGAUGGGCUCAGCAUAGUCUCUGGAACACAGACUGACAGAGGCUCCAUGCAGCACAUGCUCCACAGCCACCACCACGGCCAGGAGGAAGCGUGGUCACACCCUACGGCAUGCGGGAUCUUAGUUUCCUGACCAAGGAUCAAACCCCUGUCCCCUGCAGCAGAAGCAGAGUCUUAACCACUGGACCAUCAAUGAUUCUAGCUGUGUUCUCCCAGAGGAAAUGAUUCGAUUGAAAGGUUGGGAGAGCAAGUCUGCCUUCAUCAACGA